UCCUUCUUAGCUCAGCUGGUAGAGCGCGUCACUAGUAAUGACGAGGUCAGUCGUUCGAGUCGGCUAGAAGGAA
rnacentral:tRNA from 1 species